CCUACGGGAGGCAGCAGUGGGGAAUCUUGCGCAAUGGGCGAAAGCCUGACGCAGCCAUGCCGCGUGGAUGAUGAAGGUCUUAGGAUUGUAAAAUCCUUUCAGCGGGGACGCGGUACCCGCAGAAGAAGCCCCGGCUAACUUCGUGCCAGCAGCCGCGGUAAUACGAAGGGGGCUAGCGUUGCUCGGAUUUACUGGGCGUAAAGGGCGCGUAGGCGGACAGUUUAGUUGGGGGUGAAAGCCCGGGGCUCAACCUCGGAAUUGCCUUCAAUACUGGCUGUCUUGAGUACGGGAGAGGUGAGUGGAACUCCGAGUGUAGAGGUGAAAUUCGUAGAUAUUCGGAAGAACACCAGUGGCGAAGGCGACUCACUGGCCCGUACUGACGCUGAGGCGCGAAAGCGUGGGGAGCAAACAGGAUUAGAUACCCUUGUAGUC
rnacentral:rRNA from 1 species